rnacentral:rRNA from 1 species
GAUGAACGCUGGCGGCGUGCCUAAUACAUGCAAGUCGAGCGAACAGAUGAGGAGCUUGCUCCUCUGACGUUAGCGGCGGACGGGUGAUUAACACGUGGAUAACCUACCUAUAAGACUGGGAUAACUUCGGGAAACCGGAGCUAAUACCGGAUAAUAUAUUGAACCGCAUGGUUCAAUAGUGAAGGACGGUUUUGCUGUCACUUAUAGAUGGAUCCGCGCCGCAUUAGCUAGUUGGUAAGGUAACGGCUUACCAAGGCAACGAUGCGUAGCCGACCUGAGAGGGUGAUCGGCCACACUGGAACUGAGACACGGUCCAGACUCCUACGGGAGGCAGCAGUAGGGAAUCUUCCGCAAUGGGCGAAAGCCUGACGGAGCAACGCCGCGUGAGUGAUGAAGGUCUUCGGAUCGUAAAACUCUGUUAUUAGGGAAGAACAAAUGUGUAAGUAACUAUGCACGUCUUGACGGUACCUAAUCAGAAAGCCACGGCUAACUACGUG